rfam:Echovirus 9 (strain Barty), complete genome
AAUGAGCAACUACAUACAGUUCAAGUCCAAAUGCCGUAUUGAACCUGUAUGUUUACUCCUU